rnacentral:rRNA from 1 species
CCUGAUGCAGCAACGCCGUGUGAGGGAUGACGGCCUUCGGGUUGUAAACCUCUUUUAGCAGGGAAGAAGCGAAAGUGACGGUACCUGCAGAAAAAGCGCCGGCUAACUACGUGCCAGCAGCCGCGGUAAUACGUAGGGCGCAAGCGUUAUCCGGAAUUAUUGGGCGUAAAGAGCUCGUAGGCGGUUUGUCGCGUCUGCUGUGAAAUCCGGAGGCUCAACCUCCGGCCUGCAGUGGGUACGGGCAGACUAGAGUGCGGUAGGGGAGAUUGGAAUUCCUGGUGUAGCGGUGGAAUGCGCAGAUAUCAGGAGGAACACCGAUGGCGAAGGCAGAUCUCUGGGCCGUAACUGACGCUGAGGAGCGAAAGGGUGGGGAGCAAACAGGCUUAGAUACCCUGGUAGUCCACCCCGUAAACGUUGGGAACUAGUUGUGGGGUCCAUUCCACGGAUUCCGUGACGCAGCUAACGCAUUAAGUUCCCCGCCUGG